UAACCUACAACAUCUUACACAAAGCACAGUUCGCAUCAUUUCAUACGAAACUGCAAGAUAAAGAAGAAAUAAAACUCUCAAUAUCAUUUUUAGCGAAGCGUAGCAAGAUGUCAAAUAUACUAAUGACGCAACACAACCGAGUAAAGAAUAUCACAGGAACUCGCGCGUGCGCACCGAGAGAGGUGAGUACAUGGAAACGUUACUGGAUGAAGGAGACAGGUCGAGACUGGCCGAAACGAUGCCGAAUAAGUGGAUGUGGAGAGCCCGCAAUCGGAGGGGGUCAUGUCCACGUCUAUGGUCAUUACGACAAUGUUUAUAUUAUACCAAUGUGUAACUCGUGCAAUAACUCCAUUAAGACCUCGUGGAUGAAUGUGAACACACGAACAGAGGCCGCUCAUGUUGAAAGGAACGAUACCAGAGGACCUGAAGGUCCUUGUUACUGUUCAGCUUAUUAUUAAUAAUGUAAUCAAAAUAUCUCAAUUUCUUGUUUGGUUCAAUUUCAGUUCAAUGAUAUAACUUAAAGCAAAUAAUUUACCAGAAACGAAUGUACGUAUUUGAGGGAAUUGACGGAUAAAAAAUAAUUUAUGAUGUAAAUUCAUUACUUCUUAAACCAUUUUCCGUAGUACAUUUUAGUAAAUAUUUCAAAUAGAAAUAUUUUGAAAUGUAUUGAGGAGUACAUUUUGCAUGACUCUAUGUGAAUCGAUCACAGCUGGUCAACACAGAAUAAAUGUAAAAGAAAAA